GAAUAUGGUAGAAAAACAGGUCCUUGUUUUUCGCAAGCGAUAGUUUGCGAAUGCGAGGUUAAAAGGGAAGUUUGGUGAAAAGCCAACGCGGUCCCGCCACUGUAAAAGAGGAGCUCUUCUUCUUGGCAACGGCGCCAUCCACUGCACGCCAGCGUGCGGGAAGGAGGAAGAAGAGCGAAGAUCCUUGAGCCAGGAGACCUGCCUGUUUUGAUGUCCACUG
rnacentral:ncRNA from 2 species